rnacentral:rRNA from 1 species
ACGGAAGGCAGCAGUGGGGGAUAUUGCACAAUGGGGGAAACCCUGAUGCAGCAACGCCGCGUGAAGGAAGAAGGUCUUCGGAUUGUAAACUUCUGUUUUUAGUGAAGAAACAAAUGACGGUAGCUAAAGAGGAAGCCACGGCUAACUACGUGCCAGCAGCCGCGGUAAUACGUAGGUGGCAAGCGUUGUCCGGAUUUACUGGGUGUAAAGGGUGCGCAGGCGGGACUGCAAGUUGGAUGUGAAAUACCGAAGCUUAACUUCGGGGCUGCAUCCAAAACUGUAGUUCUUGAGUGGAGUAGAGGUAAGCGGAAUUCCGAGUGUAGCGGUGAAAUGCGUAGAUAUUCGGAGGAGCACCAGUGGCGAAGGCGGCUUACUGGGCUCUAACUGACGCUGAGGCACGAAAGCAUGGGUAGCAAACAGGAUUAGAUACCCUGGUA